GCAGUCUGCAACUCGACUGCAUGAAGCUGGAAUCGCUAGUAAUCGCGAAUCAGAAUGUCGCGGUGAAUACGUUCCCGGGCCUUGUACACACCGCCCGUCACACCAUGGGAGUUGGAAGCACCCGAAGUCGGUGACCUGACCGAAAGGGAGGAGCCGCCGAAGGUGAAGCCAGCGACUGGGGUGAAGUCGUAACAAGGUAUC
rnacentral:rRNA from 1 species